GGUGGGUGCGGCUCCCGCGGAGAGGCGCGGAGGACGCGUGCGUGGGCAGGCAGCGGCCCGGGCGGGACGGGAGACCAUGGCUCACGCGUCCGGACCUCGUGCGGCGCGACUCUUCGCAGUUUUACCCGAAACAGAGGAGGCGCACGAUGCAAACAGACUUCCGCAGGCAUCUCCCCCACCCCGGCGUGUCCGCGCACGCGCAUGUGUCAUGCCCGGGGCGCACGUCCGCGCCUGCGCCCAGCACUGCGCUCUGCACCCACGCUGGCGGCGCCGCUGCGGGCGCGCGACGAAGCGCAACCUGAGGCCGGCCGGGGACGGCGCUCGCCGCGCAGCGGUUGCCAUGGUGCCGGGCAGGCCGCUUCCGGUGGACGGAGCCUCCCGGUACCGGGCGUCCCGCGUGGCCCCGCUAUGUCGAGGGAGGCAGUCGGCGGCCGACCCGGCCCACGUCCAGUGUGUACCGCGAAGGCAGCGUCGCCCCCGCCGGCUCCUCAGGGGAGGAGACCCUCAGACCGGCAGAUCUCAGCCGGCGCCGGGCCACGCCCCCGUCCUGGCACUCUGGAGGGUGAGGCAGGAAGAUCACAAGUGCCAGCCCACCGUGGACAACGCAGAAGCUUGGGAUACCCUGUCUCAGAUGUAAACGUGACAAAAGGUCUGAGGAUGCGGCUCAGUGCAGAGGGCCUGGCUUCGAUCCCCAGGACUGAAAACAAAAGGAAAAACGCAAAGCGGGGAAACCAAGAAGUUGCGAGUCACAGGAAGUCCUGACAGCUGGUCAGUGCCUGUGGGACCUGCGGGCAACAGAUGCCGGCCUGGCUGGGCAGACGCCCUCGAGUCACCAGCAUUCACACGCGCGGCUCUCCGCAUGGACAUCACUUGCUAGGAGGAACAAGGGAUGUGUGCUUGCUGUGAAAGGCAAACUGCACAGAAGCUGGGAGAGAAGCAGCUCGCCGGCCGGAGCUGCUCCCACUCUUCAGCCAGAAUCAACCCGUGCGAUGCUCACUGCCGUCCCAGGCAAGGGUUCGGGCAUGGCCACACGCCGCUGCCGAGACGUGGGGGUGAUGAUGGCACAGAGGAGGGUUCUGCCUCGGUUGCACAGCACCGAGGAGGAGGUUGGAACCCAGCGUCACAGACAGCUCGGUCCCAGAUGUGGCUGGGCUCCUGCAGACACGUGAGCCCCUCCACCUCUUACCCUAGCAGGGUCCCCAUCCCGAGCUGCUCCCUGCAACAUCCCUUGCUGUGUGUGACACGCGGCUCCACAGCAUCUCUGUGCCGCUGGCGGUGAGCACUAGGAAAGGGCUCCGGGCACACCGUCCUCCCCUCGUCACUGGCUGCAGGACCCAUGUGGUUCCGGAGGCAGAGGCAGCGCCAUCACCCUCCUUGGGAGCCUGGCCUUCACUGUGCUUCGCCUCCAUGAAAACAGGCUUCGGCCAGGCACAGUGCUACAGCUGGAGUCUUAGCCCACUGGGAGGCUGGGGCAGGAUGACUGCCAGGGUUGAGCCCAGCCUGGACAACUCUGUGACAUAGUGGGGCCGUCUCAAAAUUGAAAGUAAUUUACAAAGGGCCGGGAUGUGCCUCAGCGCGAAGGCCCUGGGUUCAGUCCCUGGCACCAGCUGUAGUGGUCUGCAUCUCCCCACUUGGUUCAGUGAGCUCAGGGCCGGGCACAGGGUCCGCUGGUGUGCACUGCCCACCACGCCCUCUUGCGCACUGGCUGUUACCUCCGUCCCGCUCUACUGCCACCUCAGUGAGUGGCCCUCGAUCCUCCCACCUCCGGAAGGCCCGGCACUGGCGGCCAGGGCAGAAUGCUGGGGUCCAUGUGUCGGGCGGUGAGACUCGGCGCCCUGGGCACGAUGAUGCCGGAGGGAGAAACAAACUCGUGCUGACGUCACUGUGACUCUGGAGUUCUGGGUUCUAGCCACCAACUCGAAUCCUACCAAACAUGCUGUCCCCAUGACUGGAGGGACCCAGCUGCCCCAACCAUGGCCACUGUGGUCUGCUGCCAUCCUGCCGGCAGGUGGUCUUGCCACACACCCCAAGUCUGUAGGACAGUCACUGUGACAGUCAGCAUGGUGUGCCGGACCCUGAUGCCUGGACUGGUUUUUUAAAAAUUUGUGUGUGUGUGUGUGUGUGUGUGUGUGUGUGUUCUGAGACCUCAUCUUGCUCCAUCAUCUAUGCUGGUCCUAAACUUGUGACCCUCUUGCCUCAGCCUCCCAAAUGCCAAGAUUCUGGGCAUGCGCCACUACACCUGGCAGCCAGACUGCCUGCCUCUUAACUGACUUUCGUGUGCUGACAGUUUUGAGAAACGCUGGUUUCCCUUGGCCCACACCUUCCUCCGGCCUCAGGCGUGGGGAUCACCCUGGCUUGGGCCACCCAAAAUGGGCCUCCCACGUGAGUCCUCCCAGCCCUCGCUGUGACCUGGCCCUGCCCGUGAUGUCUGGACUCCUUUGAGCCACACGAACCAGGGGCAGAGAGGACAUGAAUGCCUUUGCAGCAAGCGUGGAAGCUGUGAGGGGAACCAGGACCCUAGGGAAGGAGCUGCUCCAGACCAGGACAAGCAGCACCCGUUGCUGGCACUGGGGAGCUGGCGGCACUCGUCUAUCUGCACAUGCAGGGCUCCGCCUCUCGGCCCCCACAUCCAGCAGGGCAGGACCAGGAGCCUGGCACUGCCCCUGCACCGAGGCCUGAGGCCUGCUGGAGGCACUGCAUGCCCGGGGCCCUGGAGGGACACGCUGGUAUCCAAGGCCUGCCACGCUUGAGAUCAGGGCUGCCUGGGCCAGUCUGGGCUUCAGUCCUAAGCUCUGCAUGAAAUCAGAAUCCCACCAGGACAUGUGACCUGUCUCUGCCAGGUGGGCCAGAGGCUCGGGGACCUGGUGACCCUGGACAGUCAGGACCGAGUGCAGAUGUGAGCCAGCUCUCCUGCCACUGGGUCUGUGCCGAGACUUCAGCAGCAGACGGGGGCAGCCAGUGGAUCCUGGAGGGACUGUGGGCACCCGCCAUCCACGGCCGCCCUUUCCGGACUGCUCCGUCGCCGCCUCCCUGCAUCCCAGUGUGGGUGCCGCUGACCUGCCCUGGGCCUCGGACCCAGGCGACACCCAGAGGAUCCGGGCCCGCAGCAGGUGGUGCUCAAGGUCGCCCCCAGGUCAGGGCAUCACCUCACUGCCCACGGAGCCAGGCCUGGGGCAAGCCCAAGCUCUUCGCAGCCUUGCUCGGACCGCCCCCAGCCUGUUCUGCUGGCUCCCUCUUCACACCCUGCCUCGAGAAUCUCAAGAGGACUGGACUAACUGGAGAUGUACUGUGCUGUCUGAUGUAGUGGUUCCUGUUGUUUUUUACAAAAUUGGCUUCAGUUAUGUUGAAUUAUGUCUGCCGUCAGAGAAGCUGAGCCAGUAGGCGCUGGGAACGGAUCUCUCAGCAGAAGGGGAACAGGACCAGUCCGCUGGUGCAGAGCUGGGCCGCGGCUCCAUGAUCCAAUGGUGCCAUUAAAUUCCAGGAGAGCGGCUGCGGGUGGUGAAACAGCGACUGCUCCAGGCUGCUGGGGACGCGGGAGGGGUGAGGACACCAAGCAGGGCUGCUCCUGUUUGCUCCAGCUUGGUUCUUAACAUUUCGAAUGCAUCUGAUUUUGUAUGUAUCUGGAUCUUUUUUUUCCCCCGGUACUGAGAAUCGAACUCAAGACUUUGCCCUUGCCAGGCAGGCACAGGGCCACCGAACUACCUCCCUGGGCCUGUAUCUGGAUCUUUAAAAAAACUGAUGAAAUGAAACCUUCUGCCCCACCUCCUGAGGCUCCACCCACGAAGUUGUGGGCAGCGUCCACACCUGUGUCCAAGCCCAGCAAGUGCUGUCGUGACAACUCGCACCACGGGACAAAGCACACGCCCACACUGCCGUGGGCUCCCAGGUGACUGCCCCUUGCACUGCAGCACCAACUGCAGCAUCACAGCUCUCCAGCAGUGCCCUGCGGCCAGCCCCGAUGUGGGGCGCCCUGUCGCUACAAAGGCCUCCGUGUUCCCGGCCUGGCCCACUGGGAGCCCUCUGCUCCCUCGCUGCCCUCGGCAGAGCCAGGAGGCGAGGAGCUGGGUGGGCAGCCUCGGUGGGGCUGGAGCCAGCAGCAGAGCCCAGGAGUGUUUGUGCCGAGGGCCAGGACCCAGGCCGGCAGCCAUAGCCCAGCCCCGUGGUCCCCAAGUUCCCGACCGAGAAGCUUUGCGUGAGCUGCUUACGUCCUAGGCUGGGGCCAUUUGGCUCUGCACAUCUAAGGAGGAAGGCGCUGCUGCUCAGGGACUGCACAUCCUGGCUGCUCUCCACUGUCCGGAGGCUGCUGCAGACACCAGAAGUCGGUGACUGACAUAACGUUGGGUGGGCCUGGCCUCACCCUCACGUGUGCUGACCUGGGCCGAGGGCUGGGGACAGCGUGGGCCUCACCCGUGCGGCACCGGCUUCCGGGAAGUUGCCCAGUGGGGCUGUGCUCACCUGGAAAGCAGUGCCAGGUGCUUCCGUGCAGCUCUGCCUGAGGACGGCACAGGGCUGUGAGGGCCACUGGGCUGCAACAGGUGGCUGUGGGGACCCAGGACACGAGGCAGUGCAUCUGCACUGCACUCAUUGGCCAUCCUAACAGUGGAGUCCCCGACAGGCGGGUGACGUGGGACAGGCAGUGCUGUGCCCCCCAGCUGUGCCUUCCCGAGUCCCUUGUGGCAGAGUUCUGGUGAUGCCGGGCCGAUUACGCUGUCCCUGAGUCCGAGUGGUGACGGCCUGUGUGGUGGCCUGUCCCGGGGGGGCGUACUGUGCUGCACCCUCGUGGACUCCAGGACAGGCCACAGCCCCCACCCGUGUCCUCUCCACUUCCCUUCCCAGCUGCGUGACCCUCCCUCAGUCCAGGUGUUCCUAUCGCACUGCCCGUGGGUAGCCUGCCCGGCCCAGGGCACACGUGCUAUCUGCAGCCGGCAGGUCCGUUCCCCAUCUCACACCUGCUGACAGCCCGCUCGGGCAGGGAGUAUCUUAGGGUGGCUGGGCAGCUCGCACACCCCCACGCCCGCUCCACAGGGUGGCUCUCCGGCCUGGGUCACCCCACUGUGGACCUGCCCAGUCCCAGUAGAGCCCGCUUCCAGAUGGGCCUGCAGGGCGGAGCGGGCCUCGGGGGCCCCCUCUGCUUCCAGACUGGCCCUUGGCCCAUCCUGCCCCUGGCGGGUCCUCACUUCAGACAUGGCUGUCAGGGCCCGGGGUCCUCUCAUGGGGUCGUGCCACCAUGCCCACCAGUUCUCAGCGGGGCACGUCCUGUCCCAACCUGGCUGACACCCCCCACCCAGCCCCACUCUGCUCCUCAGGGCAAGUUUUCUGGAUUCCGUUGCCUUCCUGGAAGGGCAGUCAGGAGUAAUUCGGUGAGGGCUCCUGCCUUUCCCAGAACUUCUCCGAGGCUUGUGGACGUCACUGCCCCCAACACCCCCAUCCAGUUUUCAAACUGUGCCCCAUGGAACCUUGCAUCCCUACACCAUUCUAGGGGCUCACGAGCUACAAAUGUGACUACCAAGAUGUGACUCGCUCUUUUCAUCAUGGCGACAAUGCCUUGAUGAUUCAGGGAAAUGGCAGGAAAAUCUGCUAGCACUUCAGCAGCAAGCUGCCCUGCUUAUUCCAGUCUCCCUGUGCACAAAAAAAACCACACACACACAAAAAAACAAGAAGCCUCCUGAUGCAGCAGCAGUGGCUUUACUGAACUCCAGGCCCAGGACACACCGUGUGACCAAGUGCAGUCUAUGUGUGGGAUUCCACAGGGCAAUGGUCACCCCAGGCAAGCACUCCCGCGAAUCUGCAGGAACUGCUUCCCUUUGACAGCAUGACCUGGGCUGGGGAUUUAGCUCCGUGGUGCCUGCCUGGCAAGCGCAAGGUCCCAGCUUCGAUCCCUGUACUGGGAAAGAAACAGAAAAAGAAAUGAAAGCACAACUGGCAAGUGGUGGCUAAGACCUGGGCACCUGGCAGUCAGCAUUUGAAAAACACUCACCGAGAGAGGCCGGCACACUGAGGCCAAGCCAGUGACAAAAAUGGAGCUUUCCAGCAAGAUCUGCACUGCUGCAAGCCUGGACCCGCCAGCACGGACCCAACAGCCCCACCGUGGCUUCGUGAGCUCAUAGCUGGUGAGCUGGUACUGAAUGAUGGCGUGCCUCAACAUCUGGGCCUGCGCAGAACUCGCUCAGGGCUGCUCCCAAUCAGCCCCCAUCAGAUGGGCGCAAAGGCCUAAGUACAAAGUGACUUUCAGGUCACCUGGGAAUUCAUUCAGUUCAGUGCUGUGGACGUUGACCCCGACAGCCACAGCAAAUUGCAAACACUAUUAACACCUGACUGCCUGCCUUUACCACUUUCUGCCUGCACGAGGCGACUCUGCUACCUACUUUCACAUCUUCUCAACUGCAUUCCCAGGCAUCUCACGAGUUCAGCGCUACUCUAAAUAGACUUUCCUUCUUAUUCCAACUGUGUGCUCUACACAAGAAGACAAGCUCAGGAAAGGGUCUUCAGCCAAAGCACCUGCAUGCCAGCGAACCCCUCCGAGUCCAAGGAAAACCAAAGCACUCUCCCACACCCACGAGUCGCGUGCCCUCGGCCAGCAUCCUCUCCCUGCAGGCUGCGGUAGUAGCACCUGUUGUCCCCACCCCUCCUCACAGCUUUCUUCCGGUCUCUAGCUAGGACCGGGUACGCCGGGGACUGCUCUGCCAUAGCCCAGCUCUGUGCCAGCCCCGGCGGAAGUGUGGAUGCUGCCCCACUACAGACUUAGACCGUCGUAAGUUUAGCAAGGGCCAGACUAGAUGCUUCGCUCUGUACUGCACUGUAAGAGAUCCACUUCGCGCUUCCCAGCAGGCACUGACUGGCAAGAGGGCUCCGGUCAGGUCCAGCGCCAUCCAAGCAGACCUGGGUUCCUCUCCUGCUCAGCCUCCGAGUGGGGCAGUGGCCACUGGGACCCAUCCAGUAGACACGUUUCCUGGGGCCCAGUCUGGGUUCCGGGCACGAGUGACACACGACACACCCGCGCCUGCUGCUCUCCGUGAGACUGACAUUUCGGCGCCAGACGCUCCCUCGGGCUGGCCUGGGCUUCACAAGAACACACUUUAAGUAACAUGCAGGCCGCCAGAGGGCAACUCUUGCCAUUUUCUAAGUGUAAGUUACUCCUGAAAAGGCUUACAAUCUCUUCAAUAUCUGUAAACCAAGUCAGCUGGGACGGCUGCGUGCUGUCUGUUAGAGUGAGC
ensembl:lncRNA